GAGCACUAUUCCUUUUAGAAAUCACUCUCAUAUAUGUGAGCAGUGUUAUUUCUUAUGUUCUAUACAAAUAGUUGAAGGUUAAAUAGCAGUAUAAAUAUAAAUAGUAAUGCUGUUAGUCUCCUUCAGACAUGA